rnacentral:rRNA from 1 species
UACGUAGGGCGCAAGCGUUGUCCGGAAUUAUUGGGCGUAAAGAGCUCGUAGGCGGCUUGUCACGUCGAUUGUGAAAGCCCGAGGCUUAACCUCGGGUCUGCAGUCGAUACGGGCUAGCUAGAGUGUGGUAGGGGAGAUCGGAAUUCCUGGUGUAGCGGUGAAAUGCGCAGAUAUCAGGAGGAACACCGGUGGCGAAGGCGGAUCUCUGGGCCAUUACUGACGCUGGAGGAGCGAAAGCGUGGGGAGCGAACAGG